rnacentral:rRNA from 1 species
UGAGGAAUAUUGCGCAAUGGUCGCAAGACUGACGCAGCAACGCCGCGUGAGGGAUGAAGUACUUCGGUAUGUAAACCUCUGUUAGAAGGAAAGAACGGGUGGUUGUCGAAUAGGCAGCCGCCGUGACGGUACCUUCAGAGAAAGCCCCGGCUAACUCCGUGCCAGCAGCCGCGGUAACACGGGGGGGGCAAGCGUUGUCCGGAAUUAUUGGGCGUAAAGGGCGCGUAGGUGGGACAGCAAGUCUGAGGUGCAAUCUUGCGGCUUAACUGCAAGCUUGCCUUGGAUACUACUGUUCUUGAGUUCGGAAGAGGGUAGUGGAAUUCCUGGUGUAGCGGUGAAAUGCGUAGAUAUCAGGAAGAACACCGGUGGCGAAGGCGGCUACCUGGUCCGAUACUGACACUGAGGCGCGAAAGUGCGGGGAGCAAACAGG